UAGUCCACGCCGUAAACGAUGAGUGUUAGGUGCCUGACCAAGUUGGGUACCGCAGCUAACGCAUUAAACACUCCGCCUGGGGAGUACGCACGCAAGUGUGAAACUCAAAGGAAUUGACGGGGACCCGCACAAGCAGCGGAGCAUGUGGUUUAAUUCGAAGCAACGCGAAGAACCUUACCAAGUCUUGACAUAUUUCGGAGGGAAUUAGAGAUAAUUCCUUAUGACUUCGGUCAACUGAAAUAC
rnacentral:rRNA from 1 species